AAGACUCCUUGUACAUCUGUCAGCUCACCACAAGAUGACCCUGUACCACGCACUGCUCCUAGCUCUAGCCUGCCUGCUCUAGCCUCCCAGACAACUCGAGCCGGAUGUUUAUGUCAAGCAUCAGCAGGUGAACUGCAUCAUGACAAAGGUUCGUUUCAUGAUCAGACAUUUUCAAGUUUGGGACACAUAUACAAGUGCCGUAAAUUUGACUAGCCGUUUGUAUGUAGCUAGCUUGGAUGAUGUUACUGGUGGUUCUGACGAUCAAGAUUUCGGUAUGAAUUACACGUCGAACUUCAAAAGAAAGCAGGAAUGCUGCAGGCGGUCUAAUCCUGUCAACGCUAGCUAACUAGUUCGGUAACCGACAACAACGUUAUCAUUUUGCAGCUGUCAAUUAUUUUUACAUUUUAGCUUGUCAACUUUGUGUCGAAUGCCACGCCCAGCAGCUGUUGGCACUGUAGACUAGAGCAUGUAAGGACCACCAAAUGAGUGCUGCUGAUUUUAAUGUCGCUAACUUGGCUACCUACCACUGGUGAGUGAAUUUCUUGUGCUUUUUAAGUUAGACAUUUAGCGAUAUAGAUCAAAUCGGGCCCCGUGUGUGUUACCCAGGCCAGCUUGCACGUGUCCCAGUCUCUUCUGGUCCAUUCAGCUGUAAGAGAGAGGGGCACCCCAGACAUGAGCAUGGAAGCCUCAUGAUUUUUAAAAUUUUUAAACAGAAGUCACCAUUCAUAAUUGGGCGGGCUGACUGCGGAGUUGUCUGACCUGGGCAAUGGGUUUGCUUGGCCCAACAGCUGGUCUGUCCCAUGAGGGUCUCUCCUUUUCUCCUGCCUGCCUCCAGGUCCUCAACCUGGCCCCAUGGACCACAACACUCCUGCUACUGCUCCUCACCGACCUGGCCCUCUCUGCCAAGGCUGGAGGCCGCCUGUCGAUAGAAGUCAUUACUGGCACUCAUGCCAUGGACACGGUAAGACUGGGGUAGAAGUGGUGGGAGUGGUCCUCCGGGUCACGCCUCAGCCCAGAGC
rnacentral:lncRNA from 1 species